rnacentral:lncRNA from 1 species
ACUAGAGUCACUCAAGCUCCACCUAAAAGAUAGAAAAUAACAUAAAUUGGCCCAAGAGAGAGGGGGUGUCAGGGAAGACACCAUCCUGAGGAAAUACAACAUCCUUAGGACCUCCUGACUCCUGGGAUCAGAUGACGGGCUGAGCCUCUCUUCCCCCCCCACAUUGGGACACCUUUGGCAGUGGUAGGAGCAGCGGCCCUGUUAUUUGUCUACUUUACUUAUUGAUCAUCACUCAGGCAAGAAUAUUAUAUAGCUGUCCUUGUCUUAUUGACCUGACUACACUGCUACCUCUGACACAGCUCCUGGAGCACCACCAAACACUGUCGAACUGUGGGAGAUGAGUCUGGCAUUGUGGAGAACCAUGGGAGAGGGACAUGAUGUAUCAUGGAAGGAUUCCUGAGCUGGGGGAAAAUCGUCUUAUGUUCGGACUUUUGCUACUCGUUC